ACUUUUAUCGCACACAUAAUAACUUGCAGGAUGAAGGCCUUGUUAAUUAUCUCUUCCAAGCUUUCAUAGCCUGGGAUAAACUAUCACCGGAGAUAUUCUGUUAAAGCUAGUAAUGUGACUGAUGUUGUUAGAGCUCAAAUGUAUGCAAAUGUGGCCAGAAGAUAAGGCCUCUAAGUAGCUUUUUCUUUGGGAUGUGUUGGUGGUUUUGAUGGUAGGAACAUUUGACCACUGGAAUGCAGAAAUUACCAUCGCAUUUCACUGAUCAGCCGCCAUUGGAUGAUGGUAACACUGUCACUCCAGUGAAUCCAGCACCAUUUCAAGCUUCCAUAACUUCAGCUGUUUGAGUCUCAGGUCAGCUGUAAAUCUCCAGUUGAACAAUCGCCAUCAGGUGUUGAAGAAACAGGAGAAGGUUUCAAAGGCUCUCUGGUGCCAGGGCAUCCGGCAUACCGAAAGGAAAGGAGUACAAAGAAAAGCUCUGAAUUUCCUGCCAUUAUUUAAAAAAGCCCUCCAACUGUCAACCAUGAAAGAAAUAAGCUAUUGUAUUAGCCAGUACUCUCAUCUCCCAGAGGAGAGAAAUAUUUCCAAGCUUCAUUACAUCUCCAGAUAUACAAUUAGUUGAGCCCCCGCUAAAAUACCUGCCAUUCUUAAUUUAGUCCUUCAAAAAGGACCAUUCAAAGCUGAAAAUUACGGUAGUGCUGGUUAAAAAAAAAAAGAAAAAAAAAGAAAAAAACAAAAAGCAAAUCUGAUUCCCUUCAUCUAUAAAAUAAUUGAUUACUUCUUUCUGUUUAUUAAAAAGGAGUCAUGAUUAUAAAGUGCUGUAAUUGUAAGCUAAAUAUUUUUAGGCAUUCAUUCAACUUUCAUGAGAGCACCUAUGAUCAUCAGAACCCUGAGCAGUGGCUGGGAGCAGCUAAACUAUCCUACUUAUUGCAGUGUUUCAGUACUUUCAUGUACUUCAAAUAGGAAGUGAAUCUGAUAUUUCAUAUACCUUAUAUAUUUGUAUCUCACUAAGAUAUGUAAUAAAGGAAUUAGUGUAACUUAAGGUAAUUCUGUAGAAUGUCAUUCUGGGAAGAAGAAAGGCUUUUCCAACCAAAGUAGUCUCAAUGGUAGUAGCUCCUCUUAGAUACUACUCAUUUAUGUUUACAGCUUUCUAUUUGGGAACAUGGAAACCUAGACUUCGGGCUUUUCCAAUAGAGCAUAAAACCUGCUGUAUAAAAACUACAUAUAAAAAAACAGCUAAUGGGCACUAGCCAAGAUCAAACAAUAUAUUAUGGACAAAACUAAAUACAGUACCGAAAUUUGAUUAAUUUUAACUGCUGGCUCGCAGAGAAAGGCCACUAGAGGCAUGCAGCAUUCCCCUUAUUAGACUGCUGAAUAAUUCUUGGUUUUGUGUGCCACACUGGGCAACUUUUAGAAUUAAUAAAGUCAGUGAAGUCAAUAUUUAGUCUGUUUAGCUUUUUAAGUAGUUGGAUCUAAAUAUCUCAUUAUUAUGACACUUUUUUCAGUUUCCAUUAUUGUCAUAUCUGAUUUAGUUUUAAACUAAAAUAUGAAAAGAAGAGCCAUGCCAAUUAUCCACACAAAUACAUCUUACCUAAGAUUUAUUUUUUCUGUAUGGUUUCAAUCUCUAGCUGAAUUUCUUGCAUAAAAAAAAAGUAUAAGUUUAAAUUCCAGAGUGAGAAGAAAAUUACUAAGUCUAUCUUCUUCAGAAAUCAUUGGUCACCUGUUGUAAAAGAUUUUCAGAAACAGAAAAGAGCGUGAGGCUCUAACAGUCAGUAAAACCUUUGAAGAAGUCAAAGUCAUUAUGUGAUUAUUUAAAUAAUCCAUCAGCUAAAUUUGCUUUAUUUGCAGUUAUUCAGCUUUCCUUCAGCCAUUUACUGCUAACAAUCCUGUAAACGUUUGGCAUAUGUUUGAGAUAUUUUGUUGAUUUUGGAUUUUUAUUUCAAGACCUCCCCUCCCCCCGAAAUUUUGCUGUUUAAUGGUGUAUGGAUUAUUCAUAUGUUAAACUCUCUCACCUAUAUUUAACUGCAAAUCCUAAAUUAACUGAAAAAACUCCACAACAGUGCCUGAUAUUCUGCUGUGCUACUUAGCAGUGAUGUUAGACUAAUUCAAAAGCUCCUUUAAAAGAAUUGUGGCACACUUACAAGAAAAAAAAGGAGUAAAAGAAAAGCAGCCUGCUAGCUGUAUGAUAUUAAGAGUUAAACCACUGUUAAAGAGAAUUAAAAUCAUGGACUCCAUUUCUACAGUCAAUCACACAUGUGUUUUACUUUAAACAUGUCAGUAGUUCUAUGGGCUUCGGUGAGCCUCCCUGCAUUGCUUAGAGGUACUGAGCUAUUAUGUACGUGCCAGGGAGAAAUUCUUACUGAGCUUUUUUCCUUAACCUUGGGUCCUCCCAUUUCUGCUGAUGCAUGUGCAACGAAAUCUGGGCAGUUAAUGAUGGGAGGCAUUGCUAAAAACCCUCGCCGCCAGCCGAAAGCAGUGACCAUUCACUCAAAAACUUAAACUGAAAUUCUGUUACGGUACACAGGAGCAUUUGCUUUCAAAAUGAGCUUUUCUGCCCAGAAGGCUAUAGAGCUGCACGAAGAACAUCCCAGCCUUUUUGUUCCACAUACCCUUUCUGUUAUUUAUGAUCCUAAUUCAUUGUGAUGGUUCAUGUUAAUGUGAGUGAAUUACUUUCUCUGUGUACAAUAGAUUCAUAAAUAUUUGUAUGCAGAUUUAUAUAUAUUAAACAUUUUGUAGGUAGAGACAUACAUUUCCUUAUGGCAAAAUGGCACACACAUGCUGUCCUCUGUUUUUUCAAGGUAACACAAAAAUAUCGGCCACUUUAACUGACUGAACAAUUUCAAUCAUGUCUGAUCGAAUGACUGCCCACCUCUUCAUGUGUAAAUAAAAGCUUUUGUUAAAAUACAGAUGAAUUACUUCAUUUAAAGCCUGGGAACAAAAAAAUUGAUUUGGCCUGUGCAUUUGUUCAUUAGAUCCAGAUGUACAUUAUCAACCGUCCGUAGCUAGUUUUACUAAUAGAUCAUGCCUGGAGGAUUUUGUUUUGCAAGGUGGCAAGAGAAGAGUGUUCUUUCUUUCAUUGUUGUUGUUUUUUAUCACAGUUGAUUUAUUUGGUUUGUUUUGUUUUCUACUUAGGAUCUCCUGGCAACAAUAAUACAAUAUUUGGUUUUCAGCACAGAAGUGUGUGUUGUACUGAGAGUCACAGCUAAAACUCCACAGCUUACAGACCUUGUGGAUGUGAAAACUAAAAACAGACAAAACCAAUUUCAUACAUUGUUUAUCUGCUUUGUUAACACCUACCUAGUAUCUAAGGGAAAAAAGGACGUAGCUGUACGCCUGUAUGUGCUGCAAUUCAAAGAAACCAGGAAAAGAAGGAAUACUACCAAAUGACUAUCAUGCCUUGAAUUGUCAUUAAACCUUCCAUCACAGGAUCUUUUAACCUCCGGAGAAGCAUUAAUAAAAUCUAUUAUCAAGUGCAUCAAGUCUUAAUGAAAGCACCUGUAUUCAUCUCUAAUGAAGCAAGAAGGCAAUGGCACAGAAAUGCUCACCCACAUCAUGUAAAUGUCCCUCGGGGCCUUGGUCUUAACAUUGCCAGCUCUGUAUCCCCUGUCUUAUUUUUUUCUUCAAAAAUGGA